AGCAGCCGCGGUAAUUCCAGCUCCAAUAGCGUAUAUUAAAGUUGUUGCAGUUAAAAGCUCGUAGUUGAAUUUCGGGGUUAGUAGGUUGGUCAUGCCUCUGGUAUGUACUGGUCUCACUGAUUCCUCCUUCCUGAUGAACCUUAAUGCCAUUUAUUUGGUGUUUUGGGGAAUUUGGACUGUUACUUUGAAAAAUUAGAGUAGUUUAAAGCAAGCUAACGCUUGAAUACAUUAGCAUGGAAUAAUGAAAUAGGACGUUCGAUCCUAUUUUGUGGUUUCUAGGAUUGACGUAAUGAUUAAUAGGGAUAGUUGGGGGCAUUAGUA
rnacentral:rRNA from 1 species